AGGAGGGGAGAGGAGGCGAACUGAUUUGGGGUAACCAGCAUUUUCCUUGUCAAUACCGUGCGAUCGCUGCGUUAUUCUUAACUUGAGAUGCUUCAGUUGCAGAUGAAAUUGCAGAUAAUACUAAUGUUGUAGAAAUACAUGAAUGUUCCUGGUUAAUGUUUUAGUUAACGAUUAUUAGUGAAGUUGUACUUAUACAACUUUCCAGAGGAUUUUUAAUGGCAGAUAGUUUUCAUAAUAUCUAUUUAUUUUUUUAACCUCUGUUAAAGGCUAAACAUUUAUACUGGAUCGAUAUACGGUGUCUGGUAAAAUGCGGUAAUGAUCGCUUAUAGUCAGCUUCUUUAUCCUUAAAUUCUUCCUACUUUUUCGAAACUGCUAGAAUUUGUAUUUGUUUUUUUGUUGUUUUUAUUUUGGCAAUAGAUGGCUUGAGCAUUUUUAGUGUAAUUUAGAUGUUUAUUUCAUUUAUAUUUUACACAAUCUCAAGUAAUAUAUAGACCAAUAUUUAGACGAAAUUGCUUUUAAAUUAUAGUCGUACAGUUGUAAUUUCAUACCACCAAAAUUUACAGUAAUCAAUUUCUAAUAACUGUAUUAAUUGAAAUGUUUUGCUGUACUUUUAAAAUCCCCGUUUAUGCAAAGUUUCACUUCACGGCACUGCCGUAUCUAACAUGGCAUUAGUAUCACCUUUUAAUCUAAAACACUUUUUAACUACGCGCUGUAAAUGUUAAACAAAAGCAAAGCUAAACAAGUUGUUUUGGUCUCCAGUGUUUCCUUGUCUGUCUUUUGCAUUUAAUUUUUUUACACACAUGUAGCAUAUUCUUCAUGCUCAAACCUGAAAAUGACAUAUGCCAAUGUUAACUAAAUCAAUCAGUAUUAUUUACCAUUUGAAACAUUAUUAUCAUUAUUAUUAUCAUCAUCACUAUUAUUAUUAUUAUUAUUAUUAUAGGCUAAUACCAAUAAUAAUGAUAAUCGCACUAGUGAAGGAAAUCCACAUCUUCGGGACACUCAAAGCUGUCUAGUUUAAUAGCCUACUGCCUAAUCUUUAUACUUGGUUAAUUCCGUUAUCAUCCUAUCGUUACAGUAGAGGCCAAUGCGAAGAACAGAACGCAAUAAGUCCGCACUGAAAGGUCCCUUGUGUUGAGUGCCCCUUUUUUCUUUAUUAUGGUUAAUAUGAUCAUAAGUAUGUGGGAUUUCCAGAAAGAUACGCGGGUUUUGUUUUGCCUUUAUGUAUGUCACAUAACUACCCUCUGCAUUAGUACCGACUGAUAACUUUAGACUAUCAAUUGAGCAGAUAAGAACUAGGAAUAGUUCAAUGGUUAAUGCAGGGUGCAAACAGGGUUCAGCAAAGCGUAAAUUAGGGUCUAACUGAAUAGCUCGUCCAUAUUUAACAAGCAGGGAGUAACAUUUAGGCCUACUUAGGGUAUGAGAUCCAUACAUUGAUCAUUUAUUCUUAUUGCAACUGAAAACAAUCCGUAUUAAACUGUGUUAAGUAUGACUCCUAAACACAAGAUCCCCCCCAAAACUCUUCAAAUUUAAAUUGUACGUGAUUAUUAUUUAGAUGUAGACACGCAUUGAUAAGACCGUUUAAGGUAUACUUUUGUGAUGUGUUGCAAAAUAGUUUUUCAAUCAUGAAUAACUUAGAUUGCAUUGCAAGUACAAGAUGCACGUGUGGUCUUUUGUAUCUAACCUACUUCAAUUUGAUUUGCCCUAAAGUAAUUAUGUUAAUCCAUCCAACCAUUUUUAGUAAGCGCUUGUUCUAUUCAGGGUCGCGAGAAGUAGUUUUGUCAUAUGUUUCAAAACAAUAAAUGCCAUGUAAAUUAAUGGACAAAUAACUAUAGGCUAAUAAAGUUUUAUGAUCUCGUGAUUAAAUGCGUAUAGCGAGUAACCGAAAAUUUGCACUGAAGUUGGAUGGAAGUUGCUGUUGAGUCUGAAGUGUCAUUGUAAAUGAUUUGUUAGUCAUCGUUUACCGGAUCAUUAUAUAACAUUAUGCAUACGUUUCUGUUUCUUUGUUUAUUUAUGAAUAAUUACAAUUGUUGAAAUCGAUGGAUUCGCGCUGCGACUAAUUCGCCAUGGAGUUGAAUGAAGCACCUGAAUGUGAUUCGUUAUAGACAAACGCACCAAGCAACACCUGGUGGAAGCGAUAUGGGUAAUUGUAGCCCCCCCUUAUGGACUACAGUUUAAAAGUGGCAUUUUGGAGGCAUGUUGGUUUUACACUUUGACCGACUGUAGCAUGUUUGUAGCCGAUUAUAGCAGCUUGGACGUUUAGGGGCGACGCAAACGCUUCGGGUGAUUUAAUAUGAGGGAGUAGACUAGAGGGCGACAAUAAGAUUGGUCAAUGUUUAGAUUCACUAAAUGCUAUGUAGAUUUACUUCUCAGUUUUAACUGUAGGCAGUCUUACUUUAAGACUGAUUUUUGGACUUUAAGGCCACUUAUAGUGGUAACCACACCCGUCAGCAUAAAUAUAGGCAGUAACCUAUAAGGAAAUGGUAACAGAGCAGCCGAUAUUGGCGCUGCCAAUUGUUUCACAGAAUUUCAGACUCCUGUCUAGCAAUAGCUGACAUACUGAAAGAUCUUAUAACUUGUUUUAAAUAUUCUGUGCAGCUGCUUUCUUUUCUCAUCUAAGCUGAUAUACCAGUAAGAGAACUGGUAGAGUACAGACGUCCUACAACCCCUGAAACCAGAUGAACAUUCUCUUGGAGUCUUAUUGGAAAUUUAUAUGGCAGAAGGAAGGAGGUUCUGUUAUGGUCUGAUUCUCAUGUUUGCAUUUCAUUGAAACUGCUAUUAAGGAAUGUACAGUUAAGCAUAUAUAAGCAUAUAUUACAUAACCAGAUUGAACUGAGAGCUUGAAUGAAGACCCCUUAUUCAACACAUGACCAGGAAUAACACUAAAUGACGAGAUGGCUACUUGUAUAAGAACUCUUCAAAGUAACAGAAAAAAACAGCCACUGUAAAAAUGAGGAAAGGGAGAAGUGUCAAUAUUUAUUACAUUAAUAUUAUGGUGAGGUUAAUCCUAUGAGCAAUAGUUUGCAUGUGUGUGUAUGCGUGUGUGUGUGUGUGUGUGUGUGUUUUUUAAUUCUAUAAUGAAGUUAUGUACUAAAAGAAAAUGUUUAAAAGACCAAAAAAAAAAGCUUUUGUAACUGGGUGGUAGGGUCAAGUAUGCUCAUAUGAGUGCAGUAUAGAUUGUAUAGAAGGGGUACAUGUUGCAGAGAAGAAGGGAUUUGUGGUACAUCUCAUAUCGCUGGUAUUACCACUAAUGAACAGCAGCUGUGAGUAAAGAUUCCGCUGCUCAUAUAUCAUUCAGGUCUGAACCACCAAGACUGGAAGUAAUGUUUUCAUCAAGAAGAACCUGACAACAGGAAAAUAGCAGAAACAUUCAUAAUGCAAGCAUUUUUUUUUCUGUUAUGAAAUGGAUAGAUCAGUUUGCCUUCUGAGCUCCAAACCUUUUUCCCCAACAUGAGAUGCUUGAGUUUAUGAAGAGUAACUAUCAUUAUACUAUUAGCUGUUAUUACACAUUUAUGACUUUCCAAAACCGAUGCCUGAGUGGAAGUGUAGACUCAGUGGAAAUGUGUUAUAAUUUAAUUUUCCAUUGUCAACAUUUUUAAACAGUUCCCCGCUAAAACAAUGAGAGUGAUCAUUGUUGAGGAAGGCAUCUGCAUGGAGAGUGGAAGAAUCUACAAUAUUGAUAAUAAAAAACAGAAAGAAACAACAGUAAUCAUAUUUAGAACAAUGGACAUUAACUGAUCUUGAGGACUAAAACAAAUAAAGUUGAGAAGGGAAAACAAACGACAUGUAGGACAGAAGUGUACAUGAGAUACUGGCAGCAGUGGUGGAGUCCUGGUCGGGCUCAGGGAGGUUUUUACUGUUCAUGAUACGUAAAGGAAUUUCUCAGCAAAGCCUAAGAGAAGAGCAUCAUACAGAAGGUAGGUAUCUUAGUUCCCCCAUCAGUCUGCGUUCUUAAGAGUGAUGUAACAAUAAUUUAUCUGAUUAUGGGAUAUGCUGCCAAGUGCAAGACUCUCAUUAUAAAGGGGUACAAUUUGGCAUCAUAGAACCAUUUACAACAGGCAAAAAUGUCAUCUGCUCUCAAAAUGAUAAGACGCUAAACAAACGUCGAGUGAUGUGUUAUGACACUGAAGGCUUUUCACUGCAUCUUCCCCUCCAGCUCCUUGCUUCUGAUCUUACUGUUGCUUUAAAAAGACUCAGCUGCUCAUUCUAAUGAGGAUGUCAAAUGCAGCUCUAAAUACAUAGAUUGAAACAUCAUUUACAAGAAUGUAUAAAAGAUAUAAUGAAUAAUAAACCUUUCUUUUGUUUUCAGUCCAUCUCUGUUCUCAGAAGCUGAUUAAAUAAGUAAAACGGAAGAAAUUGUCCGACCGCUUCACAAAGUGCAUUUUGACACUGCCAACUCUUGACACAACAGUGUGUGUUGUCAUAAAAGUAUGGUAAACCUUUUUAAAUUUUAAGCAAACCUAUUUUUUUAUGGUGCCAUCGGAUUACCUAGGGAAAAAAUAGUCACAAGUUUUCUCUGCAGGUUUAUCAGGGUUGCCUAAGGUAGUGCAACUCAAAACAGAAUGUGUUUGUUAUGCUGUCAUGCUUGCUUCUUGUCUCACUUUAAAUAAGUUAGGCUUGAUUUCAUGUCGGUGCUGCCUUCUGAGUUAUUCAUGCAUUGUGUUUAGUGCUCUACCCAAAUUUACAUUUUUGCCCACCUCCCAUCCUAAAAUGCAUCAUCUAUAAAAAUUAGUGAGUAAUAAAGACAUUAUUUAAACUUAGGACCCCAAAUCAAGACGUGUAUCUAACAGACGCAGAUUUUAAAAUUAUUUGGAUUUAUAACCUCAAAUCAAGCUAUAUAAUUAAUGCAGAUACAGUUCCUGAAGUCAUGGUCAUUGAAGCACUUGCAUCAAAUAACUAGAAUAUAUAAAUCUGAAUGUAUAUGUAUUGAACAUUAACUAAAAUUGUACAGAAAUCUUACCGAAGAUGACUAAUAUCACGUUAAAUGAGAAAUUACAUAGAAAUGGACACAGUAUUAAUGAAGGGGGGCACAUGCAAGCUAUGUGUGGUUUGACAUUCUAAAUAGCAUCCAAGCCAAAUAGUUUGGGAUAUUAAUAGAAGUAAUAAUAAUAAAGUAACAGGGGUUUUGUUCGUCUUCUGGAUAUAGGUUUAUAUUAAUGAUGGGAUAAAGAUCAAAAGCUCGAGAGUUCAGGGCAAACGCAGGCUUGUGUGACAGUCCUGUGAAAGCUGGCACACCAUUCAAGCAGAAAUCUGUCGACCAUGGUUCAGAUGCAUCGCGUGGUAUUAAGCCGACCUGGAGGCUCAAACAAGCACGUGGUUCUGUAUAGCUCCGAGAGUGCGUGUCCUGAGGCCUUGCAGUCGUCUCUGCAACCCAGUGAUUACUGGGCAGAGUGAGGGAGAGAUGUGAUCAAACCUGACAAAUUUUCAGCGUGGCCUCUAUGUUUUCUGUCUGUCCAGAUUAUUAAUAAUACUCAUCGGCAGAUACAUACUUAAUCUCCCCAGAAAUCUGUUUCAUAUCUAAUUUAGAGGGAAAUGUAUUUGGAGAAUAGGAAAUGCUUUCCGAAUCGCAUCAUUUUUCCUCUGUAUAAUCUUUUCUUUUGCAUCACAAUUUUUCUUCUUUAAAUUCAAUAUUAUAUUAGCUUUUGUGUUUUAUCAAUGCCUUAGAGCUGAUAUUUCACAAAUGUUUUCUAAUCUUUAUCUGUAAAUACUUUGACACCAAUGUGACAAACCAAAUUUUAAAAGGAGGCUUGAUUGCUAA